GGCGGCAUGCUUUACACAUGCAAGUCGAGCGGCGGCGCGUUCCCGUAAGGGGAUGGCGGCGAGCGGCGAACGGGUGAGUAAUGCAUCGGAACGUGUCCCGUAGAGGGGGAUAGCCCGGCGAAAGCCGGAUUAAUACCGCAUACGCUCUACGGAGGAAAGGGGGGGAUCUUAGGACCUCUCGCUGCAGGGGCGGCCGAUGGCAGAUCAGCUAGUUGGUGGGGUAAAGGCCUACCAAGGCGACGAUCUGUAGCUGGUCUGAGAGGACGACCAGCCACACUGGGACUGAGACACGGCCCAGACUCCUACGGGAGGCAGCAGUGGGGAAUUUUGGACAAUGGGCGCAAGCCUGAUCCAGCAAUGCCGCGUGUGUGAAGAAGGCCUUCGGGUUGUAAAGCACUUUUGUCCGGAAAGAAAACUUCUGGGUUAAUACCCUGGGAGGAUGACGGUACCGGAAGAAUAAGCACCGGCUAACUACGUGCCAGCAGCCGCGGUAAUACGUAGGGUGCAAGCGUUAAUCGGAAUUACUGGGCGUAAAGCGUGCGCAGGCGGUUCGCUAAGACAGAUGUGAAAUCCCCGGGCUUAACCUGGGAACUGCAUUUGUGACUGGCGGGCUAGAGUAUGGCAGAGGGGGGUAGAAUUCCACGUGUAGCAGUGAAAUG
rnacentral:rRNA from 1 species